rnacentral:rRNA from 1 species
UACGUAGGGCGCAAGCGUUGUCCGGAAUUAUUGGGCGUAAAGAGCUCGUAGGCGGUCUGUCGCGUCGGCUGUGAAAACUCGGGGCUCAACCCCGAGCCUGCAGUCGAUACGGGCAGACUAGAGUGCUGUAGGGGAGACUGGAAUUCCUGGUGUAGCGGUGAAAUGCGCAGAUAUCAGGAGGAACACCGGUGGCGAAGGCGGGUCUCUGGGCCGAUACUGACGCUGAGGAGCGAAAGCGUGGGGAGCGAACAGG